CCUACGGGUGGCAGCAGUGAGGAAUAUUGGUCAAUGGCCGUAAGGCUGAACCAGCCAAGUCGCGUGAAGGAAGAAGGAUCUAUGGUUUGUAAACUUCUUUUAUAGGGGAAUAAAGGUAUCCACGUGUGGAUCUUUGCAUGUACCCUAUGAAUAAGCAUCGGCUAACUCCGUGCCAGCAGCCGCGGUAAUCCGGAGGAUGCGAGCGUUAUCCGGAUUUAUUGGGUUUAAAGGGUGCGUCGGUUGUUUUUUAAGUCAGCGGUGAAAGUUUGUGGCUCAACCAUAAAAUUGCCGUUGAAACUGGAAGAAUGGAGGGUGUUUGAGGUAGGAGGAAGGGGGGGGGAAGCGGUGAAUGGCA
rnacentral:rRNA from 1 species